GAUGAACGCUGGCGGCGUGCCUAAUACAUGCAAGUCGAGCGAACAGACGAGGAGCUUGCUCCUCUGACGUUAGCGGCGGACGGGUGAGUAACACGUGGAUAACCUACCUAUAAGACUGGGAUAACUUCGGGAAACCGGAGCUAAUACCGGAUAAUAUAUUGAACCGCAUGGUUCAAUAGUGAAAGACGGUUUUGCUGUCACUUAUAGAUGGAUCCGCGCCGCAUUAGCUAGUUGGUAAGGUAACGGCUUACCAAGGCGACGAUGCGUAGCCGACCUGAGCGGGUGAUCGGCCAGACUGGAACUGAGACACAGUCCAGACUCCUACGGGAGGCAGCAGUAGGGAAUCUUCCGCGAUGGGCGAAAGCCUGACGGAGCAACGCCGCGUGAGUGAUGAAGGUCUUCGGAUCGUAAAACUCUGUUAUUAGGGAAGAACAAAUGUGUAAGUAACUAUGCACGUCUUGACGGUACCUAAUCAGAAAGCCACGGCUAACUACGUG
rnacentral:rRNA from 1 species